GACGAACGCUGGCGGCGUGCUUAACACAUGCAAGUCGAACGGAAAGGCCCUGCUUUUGUGGGGUGCUCGAGUGGCGAACGGGUGAGUAACACGUGAGUAACCUGCCCUUGACUUUGGGAUAACUUCAGGAAACUGGGGCUAAUACCCGAUAGGAGCUCCUGCUGCAUGGUGGGGGUUGGAAAGUUUCGGCGGUUGGGGAUGGACUCGCGGCUUAUCAGCCUGUUGGUGGGGUAGUGGCUUACCAAGGCUUUGACGGGUAGCCGGCCUGAGAGGGCGACCGGCCACAUGGUGACUGAGAUACGGCCCAGACUCCUACGGGAGGCAGCAGUGGGGAAUAUUGCACAGUGGGCGGGAGCCUGAUGCAGAAACGCCGCGUGCGGGAUGACGGCCUUCGGGUUGUAAACCGCUUUCGCCUGUGACGAAGCGUGAGUGACGGUAAUGGGUAAAGAAGCACCGGCUAACUACGUG
rnacentral:rRNA from 1 species